AUUGAACGCUGGCGGCAUGCCUUACACAUGCAAGUCGAACGGUAACGGGCCUUCGGGUGCCGACGAGUGGCGAACGGGUGGGUAAUACAUCGGAACGUGCCCGAUCGUGGGGGAUAACGAGGCGAAAGCUUUGCUAAUACCGCAUACGAUCUACGGAUGAAAGAAGGGGACCGCAAGGCCUUGCGGGGACGGAGCGGCCGAUGGCAGAUUAGGUAGUUGGUGGGAUAAAAGCUUACCAAGCCGACGAUCUGUAGCUGGUCUGAGAGGAUGAUCAGCCACACUGGGACUGAGACACGGCCCAGACUCCUACGGGAGGCAGCAGUGGGGAAUUUUGGACAAUGGGCGCAAGCCUGAUCCAGCCAUGCCGCGUGCAGGAUGAAGGCCUUCGGGUUGUAAACUGCUUUUGUACGGAACGAAAAGCCUUCUUUUAAUACAGGAGGGUCAUGACGGUACCGUAAGAAUAAGCACCGGCUAACUACGUG
rnacentral:rRNA from 1 species